ACCCCUACCACCAAUAGAAUACAUUAGCUACAAAACCAAUUCCUUGAUAAUGAUUCUCACAACCCACAUGCAACCACCAAUUCACAAUAGGUAAACUUAAUGGAUUUGAUGGACAUAGCUUAAAAAAAAAACAAAAAAGGAAAUUAGAAUCAAAAUGGAAAUAAGAUUAGAAAUUGCUAGAUUCAGCCCAAAAAAUCCAAAUAGAUUACUGAAUUAAAAUGAAA
rnacentral:lncRNA from 1 species